rnacentral:rRNA from 1 species
UACGAAGGGGGCUAGCGUUGCUCGGAAUAACUGGGCGUAAAGCGCACGUAGGCGGCUUCUUAAGUCAGGGGUGAAAUCCUGGAGCUCAACUCCAGAACUGCCUUUGAUACUGAGAAGCUUGAGUCCGGGAGAGGUGAGUGGAACUGCGAGUGUAGAGGUGAAAUUCGUAGAUAUUCGCAAGAACACCAGUGGCGAAGGCGGCUCACUGGCCCGGUACUGACGCUGAGGUGCGAAAGCGUGGGGAGCAAACAGG